GCCUCAGCCGUGUCUUCCCUGUAGGAGAAGUCAGAGAGGCUGCGGGAUCUCUGUCCUUGGAGGUUUUCAAAGUCUGGCUGGAGAAAGCUCUGAGCACCGGGCUCUGAAUUCAUUCCUGACCCCACUCCACGUAGAAGUUUGGACUAGAAGCUACCCACGUCCCUGCAAACUGCAAUGCCUCUGUGGCCUAGGAAUUAGUAAUGUUUUACAUUUGGCUUUACAUGGGCAGAGUAGCUACACGUACAAGUGAAUUCCUGAUGAAUCCAGAGGGCUCACGCUCUCAGCUGCCAGGUUACACGUGUGCUAGGAAAGCAACGUAGUGCAGCAGCUCCAUUAGUCCACCGCAGGUGGCCACCUGUACGAGCUACGAACACCGUGACAGAAGCCCCAGAGCAUAGCAUAUUGUCCUCUUGUGUCUGGCAGCCAGGAUAAAAAGCAAAGUGUUGGCAAGUGCAUGCUCAAAAUCAAGUAAUGCAUAAAUCCGUAGUCAGGUCUCUAUAGAAAGAUCUACUUUGGCGUCUAACGCCUCACGUGACCCUGGGAAAGAUUAGUUGGGGGCGUCGGGGGUCGGGGGCAGUACAAUUGAGGCCAAAUUAGUUUAAAUGAGUUUUAACUGCGUUUUGAUUAAAUUAAAAUACUUUCAGAUAACCACAGUGAUGACUGUAAUAUGAUUAAUGAGUCAUACAAAAGCAGACUGAUCUAACUUAUUCCUAGUAGCCCCAGUUAGACCUGCAGGCUUUGAUUCAUUGUUUUUCAGGUAAAUACUCUGCUUGGAAUCAGUGUUCCCGAUUAAUUGCUGCCAAUUUCUGAUGUCGUUUCCCUGGGCGUUUUCAUAGUGCCCUCAGCAACCCGUUCUGCAACUGCUCAGUCCAGCCCUGAAGGUGGGAAGACCCUCACUGCGAGACGGUCAACUUGCAGAAAUAGCGAUGGGCUUCCCUGGCUGACCGCGUUAUUUGCCAUUCUAAGGUCUCGUGCAAUAAUUGGCCUUGCUUUGGAAAUACGGAGACGUCUGGCCUUUCCCUAGCAGGUGCUUCUGUGCAGACUCCAGUGCCCAGAUCCGUGGUGUCCAAGUGCUGAUGGAAACUUGAAUGGGAAUUUGCACGCUUCUGGGUGUGGUGCUGAAAACGCACACAAUGAUUUCCCGCAUCCAAGGGAGCACCACUGCUUCGGAGCGGGAUUUCUCCCAGUCUGAAGGCUCCAGUCCCUUUUGAUGACUUUUUUCAGGCCUUGAGGCAUGCAGGCGUGAGAGGUCGCUGAUAAAGCCAACAAAAAGUAACAUCCAGACCCUCUUCUGCCUGCAGCUGGCAGCGGCUGAAGUGGCUGCGAGUUACCACUGCUCCCAUGGUCACUGCCUAACACCUCCUGGUCUCGUAAGCUGGUUAACCUGAGCAGCUGCUCUCUACUGUCAUGACAAACAGUGUGAAGCUGCUUCAGUGUCGUCUUGCACAA